GUCUAAGAUAAGAUAGAGAACAAUUUGGAUCUUUAAAAAUAAGCCAGUGUCAUCUGGGAGAUCCAAACUAGAAAGAUAAGGGACAGAACACCCAGGGCAGAGACAGGUAGUAAAAAUCUAGUGCUUAACAAUGAGUGUAACUUCAAGUAAAAGUGACAAGUUCACUAAAGCAAUAAGAAAGAAAGCCCAAUUAGUGAAACCCCAAGUUAAAUACUUAGGUAUAAUAUAAAUUAGAAAGCUUU